rnacentral:rRNA from 1 species
GAAGUGUGGACGCCAGUCUGCAUGGAGCCGACCUUGAAAUACCACCCUUUAAUGUUUGAUGUUCUAACGUUGACCCGUAAUCCGGGUUGCGGACAGUGUCUGGUGGGUAGUUUGACUGGGGCGGUCUCCUCCUAAAGAGUAACGGAGGAGCACGAAGGUUGGCUAAUCCUGGUCGGACAUCAGGAGGUUAGUGCAAUGGCAUAAGCCAGCUUGACUGCGAGCGUGACGGCGCGAGCAGGUGCGAAAGCAGGUCAUAGUGAUCCGGUGGUUCUGAAUGGAAGGGCCAUCGCUCAACGGAUAAAAGGUACUCCGGGGAUAACAGGCUGAUACCGCCCAAGAGUUCAUAUCGACGGCGGUGUUUGGCACCUCGAUGUCGGCUCAUCACAUCCUGGGGCUGAAGUAGGUCCCAAGGGUAUGGCUGUUCGCCAUUUAAAGUGGUACGCGAGCUGGGUUUAGAACGUCGUGAGACAGUUCGGUCCCUAUCUGCCGUGGGCGCUGGAGAACUGAGGGGGGCUGCUCCUAGUACGA